GGGUCCGUAGUCUAAAGGUAGGACGCGGCCCUUACGAGGCCGAGAUCCCGGUUCGAUUCCGGGCGGACCCA
rnacentral:tRNA from 1 species